rnacentral:misc_RNA from 1 species
AUGUAUAUCUAACUCCUACAAUUUUUGUUAUUCGCCGAUUUGUAUAAUGUACUUUUAUUACUCUAGGUAUUAUUCUAUGUAUGUCAGUGAAUUUUGUUUCUUGAUAUCCGUGAUCAUGAAAGAGAAUUUUAAGGAUUCUUUUACCGUUAGUAUCUUUUUUCGUCCCUAUUUCUUAUUCUUCCAUUUACAUAGAUUCUACUUAUUCUCUGACUUGAUAAAGUUUGGACGAGUUUGAGUACGUACAAUAUUAUAAUGUUCAAUAUAAAUAGAGAAUUUAUAUAGAGAAUUUUCCCAUUUUAUUUUUAAUUUUAUACUCUUUUUUUUAUAUCGAUUUAUUAAGCUUAUUGAUUGCAAUAGAAUUUAUUCAUAGUAUCGGUGCUCUAAUUCUUUCCAUCUUUUUCUUUAUUUUAUUAUUUAUGUAUAUCUAAACUCAUAAAAUUUGUGUUAUUCGUCGAUUUGUAUAAUGCGCUUUUAUUAUUCUAUAAGGUGUUAUUCUAUAUAAUUAUUCUAUGUAGUACUCAUGAUUUUAAUAUUAUUGUAUAUUGUAUAUUGAUGUUUUUGCCCACCUUCGCAAAGAGAUAUAUAAAUUAGGAGAACCUGCCAUGCAUAGGGUUACAGGAAAAUUACGCAAAAAUUUGGAGACUGUGAAACUAUAGAAAGAAACGAUCAACGUCGUCACAUCUGAAGUCGCACAUGUUUUAUCUCGUCGGGAUGCGGCAUCAACUUCUUUACUUCUCCAAGAAAGACGCGAAUUCCACGAACUCCGGUCCAGUUCAAGGGCUGUCUAGACUAGCGAGCAACUUGCUGACGCCAUAUUCUUUGUGAUUUCCCAUCGAGAGGAUCUCGGGAGUUCUUCAUCGUUCAACCAUCCAUUUACUAGUACGCAAAAAGGCCCUUUUUCUAUUUCCUUUUUACCUUCGCUUUCUUAUCAACCCAUAACUAUAGACCAAAACAAAGCAUCGAUAUUAGCGAAUACCAAUUAGUGGUAAAAUUUCUCCCAAGAGAAAAAAUUAAUUUAUUCGUCAGACAUGGUUCAUGGAUUUAGGUCGAAGCUACUAAAAAUGCUCGCGUAUAAAUACGUUUCGAUGCCGCUGUGUAUAUCUUUACGUAUUGUGUGCAUUCUACGCUUUUUAAAGCUUUCUAACCCUUAAAUUUCGCAUAAAUGUGUAGAUGUGAAAUUUAUACCACAACAUAUUUAUUUGACAGUUUGCCCGAGUCUUUCUACGCUGUUAAA